UCCCUGGUGGCUCAGAGGGUAAAGCAUCUGCCUGCAAUGCAGGAGACUUGGGUUCGAUCCCUGGGUUAGGAA
rnacentral:tRNA from 1 species